rnacentral:rRNA from 1 species
GGGGAAUCUUGCACAAUGGGGGAAACCCUGAUGCAGCGACGCCGCGUGAACGAUGAAGCCCUUCGGGGUGUAAAGUUCUUUCGACAGGAACGAUAAUGACGGUACCUGGAGAAGAAGCUGCGGCUAACUACGUGCCAGCAGCCGCGGUAAUACGUAGGCAGCGAGCGUUGUUCGGAGUUACUGGGCGUAAAGAGUGCGUAGGCGGUUUUCUAAGUUCGGUGUGAAAUCUCCCGGCUUAACUGGGAGGGUGCGCCGAAGACUGGGAAGCUGGAGUGUGGGAAAGGCAGGCGGAAUUCCUGGUGUCGCGGUGAAAUGCGUAGAUAUCAGGAGGAACACCGGCGGUGUAGACGGCUUGCUAGACCAUAACUGACGCUGAGGCACGAAAGCGUGGGUAGCAAACA